UUUCUACUGGGUGUGCGGCCUGGGCGCCAGUUCUGUUUGCUCCCCUAUCUGCCGGAGAGGGGCCUCAGCCCAACAGACACGGGGGACCUCAGAUGGCAACACUAAGAAACGGCACCGCGGGAGACCUGGGGCUGGAGUCUGACGUGAGCCAUUUUUCCAACAGGCAACUCGCGGGAGCCCCGGACGAGUCCGGCUUAGCUGCCGAGAGCCGAUUCAGCCUGGAGCGGUGGUGCAGGGCUCGGGCUGAGUCGCACAGACCUGUCCCUGUUCCAGCCACUUCCCAGCUAUGUGACCGCGCUCAGAGCCCUUUGCACACCGACAGGCAGUUUUCUCAGCUGUAACAGCAAUUCCUUCACUCCUUCACCUGCCAGGCAUCAUUUUACUUCUGGUGGAGAGGUCGCUUCAAGAGGACCCAGACAUGAGUCCCUCCCUCAAGUUCACAGUCCAGAGGAAGAGGUGCCUCAGAGUCACCCCGUGGACCCGUUCAUCAGCUAGACCUGCAGACAGUGGCUUCUGAGAGGAUGGCUCAGGAAUCAGAGAAGGCUUCCUGGAAGAGGUGACAUCUAAGUUGAAAUCUAAGAAAAUGGACAAGAGGUGAUCAAUCAAGGUGGAAAAGGCAAAGAGAAAACAUUUGAUGACCAGAGAGGACCCUCAGGUGAAGCGUUACAGGUCCUGUCCGUUGGAAGUCAAGCUGGCAUGCUCAGAAAUGAGAGCGGCCCGUUUGAGAAGAUCAAUCAAAUGUUUUCAGCAAAGCUCCUACAGGUCCACAUUUUCCCAAAUCACAUCAGCUGUAGGAAGAUGGGAUGGACUGAGAAAGAA